rnacentral:lncRNA from 10 species
CGCGAGGGAGCCGCCGGCCGCACGAUCCGCCCCGGCGCGGCCGCCUCGCCAAACAGGUUUACCCGACGCGGCCGGGGCGGCGGGCGGAGGCGGCGGCGGGAGCGGGAGCGGGAGGGGCGGGGGAGGAAGGAGGAGGGAGGGGGAGGGGAGGCGAGGCCGGCGGCGGGAGCGCGCUCGCGGGGGGAGCGGGGCUGGGCGCGCGGGCGGGGUCCGCGGCGGCGGCGGCGGCGGCGCCGGGUCUGGCGGGGCCUGGGGCGGGGACCCGGGGAGGGGCCCGGAGACCUCGCCGGGCGGUGGGAACCGCGGGCGGGAGCGGGGACGAGGGCCGAGGGCGGCGCGGCCCGUGUGGCGCGGGGGCGGGCGCGGCCCCGGGGACCCUUCACUGCCACCCAGAGAAGCCGCGUCUUCCCGACGGGGAGGAGCCGGGCCCCCCGGCUGUGCCGCCGGAGCCGGAGGGGAGGCCACGCGCCCCCGCUUUCCCCGCCGCCCCCCGGUGGGGGGCGCAGAACCCUCCCACCCUCAGCCCCUCGGCCCCCAGCCUGGCUCUUUAAGUUACUACAGAAACACGGAGGUCGGGAAGCUCCCUCCCAGCCCGGAGCUUGAACUUGAACGCGGCCGGCCGCUCGCGCAGGACCACACCGCCACCUCCCGGCGCGGCCCCAGAACCCAGAUAAUCCGUUUAAAGCACUGAGAAAAUCUAAGAAGUUUUUAGUAAACUGUAGCUGGUAUCAGGGAUCAGAUCAGCGGACACGCCCAUUCCAGCAGUCAGGGGCCUGCUCGGACCGUCGUGCACCUCCGAGCGUUUCUGUCCGGUCCCUCUGGGUCCGUCUGGUUUUCGGAGGCUUUCCUGGAAAAGCCAGCCUGUGGCUACCUCCUUUCUCCCCUAAGUGAUGGAGGAUUAGAAGGCAGAGGUUGACCCACAAUCUAAAGUGCCUGGUCGCCUUUUCCCAGAUUUCCCGGAGCAUUCCUUCACCCCGUGGCAUCGGCUGUCUGCAUAUGGGUGCAAGGCCCUGUUCCGGGCGGAGAAUAAACAGGAGUUCUGACUGACAGGAGCUCCGCAGCCAGCAGGGUGGUCACUAGUUCUCUGCAGUCUCGGAGGACAGCCCUGAAGAAGGGCAGGAGAACCAGCACUUCCUCCGAAAACUCAAAAGGACAUCAGUCUUCACCAAGUUGCCGAUACAAAACGUGCUCCUGAAAUGUGUAGUAAUGAACACCAGGAAACCUGGGUAGGAGUGUGCAUGGCAUUCUUCAUCACCGCUUGGACUGCAUGGCACUGAAUACCCACGGAGAGCAGGAUGGAGAAACAGUGUGCUCAUAUUCACAGGAUGGAAUCUAGCCAUUCACAAAAAUUCCAAAACAGGCAAAAUUAAACUGCAUUCUUUAGGGAAGCAUCAUUAAGUAGUAAAUAAUUGACAGAAGGGCAAGAAGGUGCUUACUCUAAGUGUCAGAAUGGUGGAUACAGCUGGGGGUGAGAGGGCUGUGACCACAGCAGGGCCCCUGGGGGAUUUGGGGGUGCCAGGCCUGUUCCUUCCUGCAAUGGUGCCCUUUGGCAGCCAUCCCUUAAACUGCACUUUUACUUUAUAUGCUUUUCUGUACCUUUACUGUAGUAUUUCACGGAAAUUUUUAAAUAAUCAUGAAUGUUACCACUUUCCUAUUUAUGAACCAUGCAACCUCAUCAAUCUUCCCAGUUCGCAGAUGCCCACCCUCUCUCUCUGCCCCUGUCUCCUUCACAUAUCCCCAAAACUCGUUUUGGCCCGAAAUCCCUGAGGCCCAACUGCCCUGCUGUCAGCGACUGCACGCCUCAGCAAAGGCCCAGAAGGCUCUGUCAUCACUGGCUGCCCUCAGCCCGCCUUCAGCUCCUUUGAGCGCUGUGUUGGGGAACUUUGUUGCAAGGAUUUCGUUCCAGAAGGCAAGAUAAUGUCUCUGAGGGCUUCAUUGUGUCACUUCUCUUUGGAUGGCGGACACCGUGGCCCUCUGCUGGCGGAGGGGUGCCAUUGCUGCCUGCCCCAUCUCUAUCCCCAGGGCCCAUGCAGUCACUGGGUUCGCCCUCUGGGGCACGGGGUUCCCUCUGCUCUUUUCCUAGAUAAGCCCAUUCUCUGCAGGUCUCUACCCUCCACACCUGUGUUCAGGAAUUCAGCCCGCUUCCUGCAGCCCCAUCCCUACCCUCCUCCCAACCUGCUUUUCUUCUGGUGUCCCUCACUCAGCAUGGCUAACAGAUCCACCACCCAACGGAGCUGAGAACUGCAGUCCCCUCUGCCUGUUACCUCUCCUGCCAUUAGUGAACCUGCUUAACUCAUCUGACUGUGCGUCUCGGUGCUUGCUGUGACAUGUCUCCAGCCCUUGCUGCUCUGUCCCCCAGACCCACGUCCCACACCCGGAUGGUGACUCAGCCGACUCUGGGUCUUCUGGACCCAGUGCUUCUCCCUGAUACAAUUCCUUCCUCUGUGUUUUAGGAUCCUGAUGCUUUGAUAAGACCGUGGGCUCUAAUCACAGCCAGGGACAUUUGCAGCAGCCUGGCCUGCAGCUCUGCACACUGGGUGCACUCAGUCUAAAGCACCAGCUCCCCAUGAGAGAGAAAGAAGGGGUGAGGGGAAGUACAGAGAAAGCUCCUGAGGCCACAGGGCUGACAAAGCCCUCGGCUUUGGGGGCACUUUGUUUCUUCAAGACUAAAAUGCAGGCAAUGGAAUAAAUCAUUUGUUCCUAAAACAUGUUCUGCACAUGAUUAAAGCAGCUUUGGGAAGUCAAGUAAAUUGGGAAGCACUGGAUCAAACAAUGAUAAAUAAGUUUAUUGUCUGCAGGCCUUCUCAGAGCCUGUAGCAAGGUGAGAAGAAUCAUGC